AUAGAUGAUUACAGGCAGCUCCAUGACCUUCACACCCAGCUUGGCUGCUGUGGCUGAAAUGACCCCCACGCUGGGACAGGGCCUGGUGUCAGCCCAAAUAAACAACUGGCACAGUGGGGCCUGGAGAGGAGCCCCAGCUCCCCCGCAUCUGUCAGGCACUGGGGUGACUUGUGCAGCACUGCGAGAUCUCUGCUGCAGAAACUUGAGCUGUGACGCUGAGCAGAGCUGGAGUUAGUGAAUGGGAAGCAGGAUUCAGCACGCUUCAGGGUGGUUUGAAGAGCCAGGAAGCACUGGGGCUGUUUAAUUGAAAGUAACUGUAUAAAAAAAAGGAAUUAAUUCUUAUUAAACACCCACAGCGACAUUUUCUUAAGUGGAAAUUAAACAGGGAUUAAGGUGAAGCCUCCUAAGACUCUCCCUGUUGUGAUCAAGAAUAUUUUAAGGCAAGAGCACCAGGCCAUGUUAAAUUUGAAGAAAUGAACUGAUCUGGAUGCACUCUGGUGCCUUUCCCUCUCUCUGUCCUGCUGCUCAGGGGAGCAGAGGCAGCUGGAUGUAGUGGGGUGCUAAGCAAAGAGAUGCUCUUAAAUUGAGGGGGCCUCCUCCGAGCCCUGGCCUCUCAGCCAUGUUCUCAAGCGCUGCCUGAAAUGGGAAGGGAAAAGAAAUGCUUUGGAAUGGAAACCCUAGAUAAAACAAGAAACGACAUUUUCCUUUGUGGUCCCCCCAGUGCUCUUGCCUGUACUUGGAGGAGGCCGUGCUCCCCGCCUGCCUUUUGGGGAACCAGCAGAAAGUGUCCCUCGCAGGGAGGAUGCAGUGACGGUGGUGCAGAUGGAGCUGCUCAACCCCUCGCACCAGCGAUGCCAAGGCACGGAGGCACCCAGGGAGCAAGUGUCCUAAGUCAGGAGCUGCCAGAUUGAGAGACGUGGUUCUUCUUGCCUGUGUCACUGCCGCUGCUCCCUUCAACCAUGCGACUUCCCAGAAAACUCUCCUGGAAGAUGCCUUUACUGCCAUAACCCUCUGGCUGGGUGUGUCGCCGUAGGACUGACACAGCUCACUCAGAUGAGCUGACACAUGGCACGUGCCACCACAAUGCUCCCAGACAGAGGUCAGAGGGCUGCCCGCCCCCCUGCCCACCUCCCCUGCUUGCUCCCCUGCCUGCACAUGCAAGUGCUCCUGCCUCCUCUCCGGAGACCCUGAGCUCCAGCAGCCCUUGCAGGGAUUCAGGGACUUUGUAGCUUGUGUCAGCCUGCUAAUCACAGCCUUUCUUGACCCCACCUCCUGGAGGAAGCUCAGCACCAAGACCAUGGGCUGGAUUUUUCUGCCCCAUGGUUGCUCUUGAAGUUGGACUAGUCUAAGACUGCAAUCCUGAGUGUUUAAUUGGUGUUAGCCAAGGGGAAGCAUGGCACAGUAGAGCUCUGAAGGGCCACCAACCCUUCUGCCCAUAACAGCAGAAGAUGAGCCCCAUCCGAGCUGUCAGCAUGCUUGGGAAAGAACUGGGGGUGGAAGAGUUGCAGAGAGAUGCAUGGUCAUGGGCAAGGAGCUGAGCAGAGAGGGCACCUGGUGGGCACCAGAACUCCUCCAUCCUCCUUCAAGUGCGGGCUGGGCAAGCUCCGGUGACUGCCUAUUGAUGCACUGGGGGAAGAGUAAGGAGGGAGCCAAGGCUGUCUCUGAAGCAGAAGCAAGGAGAGCACUGUCCUGUAGAUAAAGAGCAUAAGAUGCUGGAAGAUAAAAAUUUGGCUGGAAUUAGAAGUUAGUGUCUGCUCAUGAGGGCAGGAAUGCUCCAGGGGGAGUAAUAUAGACAGAAAGCUGACUUUUUUUGUCAUGGUGUUUAUUGAGCUUCUGAAAGAGAUUGUAUGACAUGGCGCCAAGAGCUGGAAGGUGAUGACCCCACUACCCACUAGCUCCUUUUGGUGCAAGGCUCCUCCACUUCUCAUUCACCUUCCAGGCUUGUCCAUCUCCUGCUUUCAUCCAAUGCACUAUUUGAUUAAUUAAAUAUUCUCUCCUACAGAUUGCUGGCUGAGGGUGACACACGUUUAAUGAACAGCUGCAGGUCCCUAAUCACAUUGGCAAUUAGGAAUGUAAUUAGAGCACUUGCAAAUGGUUUUCAUGCUGAUAAAACAUGACAGAGUAGAGCGUUUUCACUCACUGUCAGCUGUCAGACAAUCUGUUACCUAUCUAAUGGCAAUUUAAUUACAAAUUCCUUCACUACCUUUGUUUCUGAUUGCUCUGGUCCAUGGCUUGACUGGGCAUCUCUUGGGGUCAAACGCAAUGCAACCCAAUGUCAUUGGUGUUGUGCCAUGGUAAAGCCCUGGUUGAGAAGGGGGAUUUCAGGACAGGAUGCCCACGAAGCCUUCCCCUCCCACCUGGUUUGGGCUGGCUGCUGCUGAGCCAGGCAGGAGCCUGUCCAAGGGGGCAGACACCAGUCACAAUAACGUUUCUGAAGAGCACGGAGCUGGAAAACCUCAGCAACCACCUCUGUUGGAGAGGCCAGCACAAGACAACUGCUGCCACCUGAAGCCAUGCUGAGUGACCCCCACAUCAAAACACGAUGCUGAGAGCCGUUGUGCUGGAUGCCUUCCAGAGAAGCUGUGGGAGACUUGCUUGUAGGGACUCCACAACCAGGCGUGACAUCUGGCUUUAAAAGCUUUUUAUUUUGGUAAAGGUUCCAUUUGUUUCAUCUGUUUCAAAGAGUUGCUGAACUGAGACAGCAUUUGGGAGUCACAAGGCCAGCAUUUGGUAUGCCCAUACUGUCUGACCACAGCUCUGUGCAGGGCAUCCAGGAGAUGGUGAAGCUUCAGCUGAAAAGGUUUGGGUCCUCCAGCUUGGUCUGCUCUGAGUUGUGCUCAAGCCUGCAGCAUAUUCAGCUUGAACUGCUGAACCUACCCCUGUCUAAGUGCCGUGUUCUAAAAAAAAACGGACAUCUUUUGUUGCUGAAAGCCUUCCUUGAAGCAGCGGCUCCCAUUUAACUGGCAGUGAGUGGCUGUGAAUCAGAAAGAAAGGACAGAGUGGACAUAAGGGGCACCCAUUUUAAGGAGUUAGAGCGAGACCUGUGCUGAGCACAGCCUGUACAGGAUGGGUUUGGGAGCUGCAGGCCUGCAAGCAGGGCUGUGCAGGAGGCAUGUGGGGAAGCAGAUCCCAUCUUCCAUGGGACUGCACGUAUGGGAAGAUCUGCUUACCUCGUCUUCACUGAACCACAGUCCAGAGAGAGGGUCCCAUCUUGAGCUCCUCAGGAUAUAGGUAUUUCCCACAAAGAUGUAAGAGGAGUCUGGCAAGCCCCACUCAACAGGGAUGCUCAGCAAAGGGCUCCCAUCCCUUUAACCACCCCUAAAUAGCAUUUGUGCAGUCACUGUGUGCUGCUGAGCUGAAAUAGCACUGUAACUUCGUCAUCAACAGCAUUUCCCCUCGGUUCUCAAGCUGCUGUGUUUAACUCAUUACCAGGUAGAGGUGCAUUAAGAAACACAUUUUACAGACGAAGGUACUGCUCAAGAGGAGUUAUUCAUCUCCAGGUCACAUGCUGAGACAGCUGGGAGCAGAACUGAGGCCUUUUAAUGACAGUUGAAGGGCAAAGAUGCAACAAGUGACUGCCACAUUUUAGGUCACAUCAGAGCCCAGGGACAUCAGACAUCAGAGCCCAAGUGUCAUCUAAAGCACUGAAUCCCCCCAAAGUGCUGAUGCCUCCCUGCAGUGCUGGUGAAUUCCUGGCUCUGGCAGGCCUUGUGGGAAUCUCGCAGGUAAUUUUUGCAUAGCUUUCAAAGUAUAAUUGCUUAAUUUGCUGUAAAGUGCUUACUUUGGUUGUUAAAACUGCACGGAAGUUGCAAAGCAAAGAGCACAAGAUGCUGGCUUCAGGUGCACACACAUGGCACAGCUGCACCUGGUGACCCACAGCUCCGUGCCACCAGAGAGCCACCGAGAGUCCCCACGCUGACAUGGACAAGCCCUGGCAGUGUUCCUUGCUCGCAGCCCUGUCCCCAGGGCUGGCUCUGCUUUUCAGGCUGGGUGUCUGCUUUUAAAGCUCCUGGGUACUCUCACCUCCUCCAGCUGACCCAAUUCCUCCUCGUUGCCAUGGAGAACUGGGCUCAUUUCUGGUUUUCAGCCUCGGUGCCGCUCCUGCUGUGACCGCUGACCAGGUGGAUGCUGCAGCCAGUCCUGACUCGAUGUUCCCAGGAGACAAGCACCAACGGGACCAGGGUGGCACGUGCACUGCUGGGUGGCUUGGCUGGUGCCUGGGAUCUCCUCAAGCAGAGGACACCAGGGGCUGUGUGUCCUGGUGAUCCUCCCUGUGCCCACUGCCCCAGGCGCCAACAGACGUCAGGUGCCACUCUUUGUAAGCCCCGUUUCAGCACACCCGCAGGCACAGUGAAGCGAUGUGUUUUGAUGUGGUUAAUGGUCAAGAACUGGCAAUUUUAGGGGCUGGCACUUCAGAUGAGUAUUUAAAAUCUCAGUUAGAGUUCUGCUAAGGAGGACUAAUUUGGGGCCAGUUCAGACACUGUAAAUCAUUUACCCCAUGCAGUCUGUCAGCUAGCUGCUCCAGUGUGUAAUUUUCCAUUCUGUCCAUUUAUAAAACAAUAUUUUCUGUUUUUCUUUCUUUGUUUGAUUGUUUUCCCCAACCAGGAGUUAAUUAACUGGUUAAAGGAAUGUUCAUUCAUGGAUGGAGGGACUGCAGCUUUGUACUCCUGGACUGGAUUAUCUCAUCUCAGUGCAAGCCAUUGUUGUUGGUGAACAGCUACAGAUGAGGCAGUCUCUUGAUGUCACUUAAUAUAUAAAAAUAAUAAUUUGUCCUGUCUCUUUGCUUUGCAGCUUCCCAGGCAGGGGGAUGUUGAGCACUGGCAAGGGAGCUUUUUCGUAUCUCCUAUUUCAUGAACUCCAGAGCAAAUAAUAGCAACAAAACAAAGCAAAGCAAACCAAACCAAACCAACCAACCAAACAAAGCACACAAGGCUCCCAAAACAGCAUUAACCUUCCCUUCAGCCCAACCCAAAACUGCAGGCCAAUCUUUCCCCUCCUGGUUGGCUCGAGGAAGCAAUUUCUAGUUUGAAUUGCUGUGCGUGUGACACUGAAGCCUUGUGUGUUUAAAAGCGGAUUCCUGGAAAGCAGCGGCAAAGCCAAUUUCAUCUUCUCAGCAAAGUCUUUUUCUUUCUAAGAAGCAACCUGCCACGUCAGUAAUGGUUUUAAAUUGACUUUCACAGAUGCCCAUCCACAAAAGAUAUUGUUUCCUAGAAACCAGAGGUUAAUGGAGAAGGGCUCCAAAUAAAGCAAGAAGGAGGAAAAACCUCCUUGCUGUUCUGCCGAGCGCCAUCUGCUUCAUGACAAUAAAGACAGCCAGAAAUUAUGCUUGGUUAUGGGGUAAAGCCUCCUCUGGCUUCUAGGAAAUGUGGAUGGGGAGCACGGGGCCAUGCCCAGAUUUCUGGUGGGGUUGGAGGGAACAUCCCCACACUGGGGCUGGGUGCACUCAUCCAGUUUCCCCGAUUAAUGCAGUAAAUACAGGCAACACAAAGCAAUUUCUGGAGUGAUGGAGGCUCCUGUUGUUUGCUUUGAGGGGAAGGAUAGAGAGGGUGUGAUGCACAGCACCCCUGAGACCAUUCCUUUCCAAAGCUUCCAUUUCCCAGCAGCUCUUCAGGCAUCUGGGUUAACACCUGUCCUUAGCAGUGCUGAGGCUUAUUCAGAAAAAGGGCAAAUGCUGUUUGUUCACACCAACACCCAGUCCGCUGAUCUCUGAUCCCUGCCAGCAGUUAAUCUGCUCCCCAGCAGCACAAUGGCAAUGUGUCCUGGCCAUCUUGGAUCACAGCCAUGCACAGGAGGAUCCCUGGCUUUCCUCCAUUGCAAUUUCUCUGAGAAAGCUUGUGCCUCCUGCACUAAAGCCUGUAAGUUGUUCAUGGCUUGAAGAAUUCCUCCCUUCCAACAUUUUGCAGUUGUUGUGCCUGAUGAAGGAGGCAAACCAGGUCCUGUAGCAAUGGUGCUGUUGAGUUGCCCUGAGAGCUGGGUGCACGCCAAAGAAGAAUAACUUUCUGGUGGUUCAGCUGACACACAGAUGUGCUGUGUACAGCAUAUUUUGGCUGCAGUUUUGGGUAGAAAAAUGAGCAGAGCCAGGAGCGGUGCCUGGCGUUCUAUGUGUAAGAAAAAUGCCAGGGCAAAACCCACCUCCUAGCACUAGUGUAACACUAAUCAAUGAUCUUCAACCGAAAAACAGCCAUGGAACAUCCAAAAGCUGCUUGUGGAAUUCACCAAGUGCACUAACCUUCACUGCAUCUCUAAAAAAAUAAUUAGUCCCAGUUCCCCAGAUCACAAGCCUCCGAAAAUGGCAUUUCCACAUGCUCAGUCAAUCUCAGCAGCAAACAUUAAACACCAUCCUCUGAAAGUGUUAACAGCCCCGAGGAACAGCCCCCUGCAUCGCCGACACUCUUGAAAGCAGCUGUAUUAAUCUUGCUGUGCUUAAGGUGCCAGCCCUCUGCAGAGUGGAGAUAAGCAUCUCGUGGGGGCUCCAGGAACAAAUGAAUAUUUGUGAGCUGCUCUGCCAGCAUGGUGCUAAGCACAACCAAAAACCCACAUGGAAAGGAUAACCUAUGCUUUCUGCAUGGCAUGGGAGUGCCGAGGGUGGGAAGGGCUCUGCUGAUUGAGAUGUGCAGAGCAGCUGCUGCCCCACAGUGACCACCCUCAUCCAGCUGACAGUGGGAUUUACACAGCUGGUGUUUCCAGCCAGUGCGUGUGAUUUGCCCCUGAUUUGUGGGCAGGAGCUGCGUCCCCUUGUGCAGGCUUCAGGAGCAACCGUGUCUUGUUCUGUUCAUGCCCUUGCUACUCGUUGGGUUGGUGUAGGGCUGCUGUCUCUUCUACUGCAGGGUCUGGUCAACAGUGAUAGUGGUGCCCCUCAUCUUCUGCACCCUUUUUAGGACUUGUGUUAGGGCCAAGUAG